GACGAACGCUGGCGGCGUGCUUAACACAUGCAAGUCGAACGUGAUUUUUGUGGAAGUUCCUUCGGGAAUGGAAGCGAAAUGAAAGUGGCGAACGGGUGAGUAACACGUGAGCAACCUACCUUACACAGGGGGAUAGCCGUUGGAAACGACGAUUAAUACCGCAUGAGACCACAGAAUCGCAUGAUAUAGGGGUCAAAGAUUUAUCGGUGUAAGAAGGGCUCGCGUCUGAUUAGCUAGUUGGAAGGGUAAAGGCCUACCAAGGCGACGAUCAGUAGCCGGUCUGAGAGGAUGAACGGCCACAUUGGAACUGAGACACGGUCCAAACUCCUACGGGAGGCAGCAGUGGGGAAUAUUGCACAAUGGGGGGAACCCUGAUGCAGCGACGCCGCGUGAGCGAAGAAGGUUUUCGAAUCGUAAAGCUCUGUCCUAUGAGAAGAUAAUGACGGUAUCAUAGGAGGAAGCCCCGGCUAAAUACGUGCCAGCAGCCGCGGUAAUACGUAUGGGGCGAGCGUUGUCCGGAAUUAUUGGGCGUAAAGGGUACGUAGGCGGUUUUUUAAGUCAGGUGUGAAAGCGUGAGGCUUAACCUCAUUAAGCACUUGAAACUGGAAGACUUGAGUGAAGGAGAGGAAAGUGGAAUUCCUAGUGUAGCGGUGAAAUGCGUAGAUAUUAGGAGGAAUACCGGUGGCGAAGGCGACUUUCUGGACUUUUACUGACGCUCAGGUACGAAAGCGUGGGGAGCAAACAGG
rnacentral:rRNA from 1 species